rnacentral:rRNA from 1 species
GGGGGGGGGGGGGGGGGGGGGGGGGGGUGGGGGGGGGGGGGGGGGGGCGGGGGGCGGGGCGCUCGGGUGGUAGCGGCGUGCGGGGUCUUGCCCCGUGGCUCACCUCCCUCUCGGACUGGGGGGACUUCGGGAGACCGGAGCUCAUACCUGCUCACCUGUUGUACCGCGUGGUUCCACAGUGACGGCCGUUCUUGCUGUCACUUAUAGCUUGAUCCGCGCCGCAUUAGCCAGUUGGUAAGGUAACGGCUUACCAAGGCAACGAUGCGUAGACGACCUGAGAGGGUGAUCGGCCACACUGGAACUGAGACACGGUCCAGACUCCUACGGGAGGCAGCAGUAGGGAAUCUUCCGCAAUGGGCGAAAGCCUGACGGAGCAACGCCGCGUGAGUGAAGAAGGUCUUCGGAUCGUAAAACUCUGUUAUUAGGGAAGAACAAAUGUGUAAGUAACUAUGCACGUCUUGACGGUACCUAAUCAGAAAGCCACGGCUAACUACGUG